GGGAGUAUAGCUCAGUGGUAGAGCAUUCGACUGCAGAUCGAGAGGUCCCCGGUUCAUUCCCAGGUGUCCCCU
rfam:Octopus bimaculoides Scaffold4330_contig_12, whole genome shotgun sequence.